rnacentral:lncRNA from 10 species
ACAAAUCUUCAUCUCUCUUGUCUUCUAUCCAUCCACAACAUCAUAUUUUCCUGACACUCAAGUAAAGAACAAAAGUGAAAGUUUGCAUAUCCAUGCCUUCUGGAUUAGUCCAUUUUCAUGCUGCUGAUAAAGACAUACCCAAGACUGGGCAAUUUACAAAAGAAAGAGGUUUCAUGGACUCACAGUUCCAUGUGGCGGGGGAGGCCUCACAACCAUGGCAGAAGAUGAAAGUCACAUCUCACAUGGUGGCAAAAAACAGAAGGGAACUUGUGCAGGAAAACUUUCCUUUAUACCAUCAGAUCUCGUGAGACUUAGUCACUGUCACCAGAAUAGCAUGGAAAAGACCCACCCUCCUGACUCAGUUAUUUCCCACCGAGUUCCUCCCACAACACUCGGGAAUUACGGGAUCUACAAUUCAAGAUGAGAUUUAGCGGGGGACAAAGCCAAACCAUAUCACCUUGCUUCCUUCUCCAACUCUAAAGAAAUUGCAGUGAACUUCAUGGUUAGACUCAGGAACAUAUGCCUGCACCCACAAUUCAGCCUCAGACAUUUACUAGCUCUCUGUUUUGAAUUAUGUCAUAGCAGGAUCCGUGAGGAAGCAUAGCUACACAUGACACAAGCCCUGUAGUAAGAUCUUUCAAUUUAUUUAGGAGAUGGGUCAAGAUAUUUCUUCACAAGAUCAUUUAAAUGACCUUGUAAAGGUCACACACAUAUACAUACACGUGUGUGUGUUUGAUUUAUACCUCUAUAGCCUAAGUUGAAGACACUUGUGUAAUCCAUUCAACAUAUACUACCACCUGUGGAAACUAAUUGCCAGGUUCGCUGGGAGCUUUUUCAGCUAGGAUUCUGUCUCAUCAGUGAUGAUGAAGUUGAUGAUGUUAUGUAUAAGAAAUGGUCUUGAGUUUACUCUGCACCUUCCUAAGUACUUUAUACACAUCAACUCAUUUGUAACCACAACUCCAUAUACCAAACUAUUAUAAUCUCAUGCUCACAAAUGAAGAAACUGAGGAUUAAAGAUGUUAAAUAUCCUUCCCAAGAUCAAAGAAUUGCAAAGCUGGCAUAUGCUGGAACUGGAAUUUGAUAUUUGGCCAGACUCUGGAACCUGUGCUCUUAUUCACUAUUAGCUUGUAUAUCAGAACUAAUGAAAUGUGUGUUUGGCAAGAACUAAUAAAAACAAAGGCAGUAGAUAGAAAGUGUGCAAUGCUUUGUUGGUAACAUCUUUCUAUCUCCCUAUCUCUUUCUCCCUCCC